ensembl:lncRNA
UAUGGGUCCCGGGUCGGGAAACUGCCACUUUUCCAGAAAGCUUUUCCACCUCUGACUAGCCAUGACAAGUUUGAAUACAUCCGGCAUGUUACUCCGCCUCACUCCUCCAAAAGAGACACAAUCUGGAUCCAUCCUAAAUACUUCUUUGGGGACGACGAUGAAGAGGAAGAGUCAUCAGAUAACACAGUGCCUAACAACCCUCUGGCUCUAAAUGUCAGCAAGGCUGCUUUUUUAAACCAGUUUCCACUGACCGAUGUAUUCCAAUCCACCAAAACAGACUUCAUUGACCGUAAAACAACCCCUAGGUAUGUGCCAGUCAAGGUCAACGUGCAAACAGGGGUUAUAACAGAUGACUCUGUGGUGGCUAGUAAUAACCCAUUUGAAGUGGAAACACAACAGGAUGAAACACCAGCUGGGCCUAAGCCUGACCCCAAACCAGUAAAACCCCAGAGAAAGCAUUCGGAAAAGAUCAAAGCAUACAUCAAAUCGGGACAGUAUUUGAAAGACAAACGUCUUUAUGAACAGGCCUUAUAUCGCUACAGUGGACAGGCUGUAAGAGACCAGGCUCUGAGAGAGGCAGAGAGAAACAAACCCAAGAUUAUUAUUGUUCCUCUGGUUCUAGUCUGGAACGUCUUUAAUUACGCAUUCUUGACCACGCGAUAUGUGCCGUAUGACAGUGGUCUUUGUAAUGAUAUGGUUGAUCACAUCCACAUCAAGAUUCAGAAGGAGGCACUUAAGUACAAGGACCACAGAGUGUUCAAAUCCACUCUGAAGAAUCUUGAAGAGGAUCCAUUGAUGAUGAGCACCUUUGUCUUAAACUGCUGUCAGUCAUUUGUAAUUAAAUACUGGAACAUCGUCCAGGACCAUAUACGAUCGAAAGAACAGCUGCACCCAGACAAACUGUCUCUGCUGGUCUGUGACCUCAUGGUGGGGGAGAUUAUGACUCAUCUGAGGCCUACCUUGACUUUCUCCAAAGACACUAAAGAUGGGGACAACCGGCCGUACUGCAUUAAUGUCCCGGUCAAAAGAGAUACCAGCUCUCCAGAUGAUGCAGACAAGACCAAGCUGGAGCUUCGCAUUGAGAAAGCUAGGGCUGACCAAAUGAAGGAACUUCUCGUCCCAUCGGAACCCAAAGACCACUCAUGGGCAGCUUGGAUGGAAAUGAUGGAGGAGUAUGAGCAGUUUCAUAAGAAGAAAACCUGUUGGGACUGGUUCUGUGGACUGUUUCGCCGGAAGAAAAAGACCACGUUUGAAAAAAGAGUGGAAGAUUUCGAAAAAUACUGUCGCAAGAGCAGUUAGAGUCCGACACACAAACAAACCAAAUGAAUUGAUUCACACACAUUAGACUACCUUUGACAUCAAACCAAAUUAACUGACACACGCACAUUUUUUACUUAGAAAUCCUCUGACCACAAACAAAUGAACUGAUACACACAUAAAAAAUGUGCCUUCCUCAAACCACACACAAACCAUAUGGAUUUAAACAGUACACACAUUUACAACUUAGUCUUCCUCUGACAACAACCUUUUCCCCUGUUAUUUAUAAAAAUUAAAUUAAAACAA